rnacentral:lncRNA from 1 species
CAGGUGCCCCAAGGAACAACUUGACCUAGAACUGCCCAGCUUGUAGUGUUUUGAGCUGAACUUUGGUUUACCAGAGACCUGAUUUAUGGUAUUUUGAUAUAGCAGCUGCAAAAAAAUAUAUAAAUUCACACGAUAGAGAGCUCAUCAGUUUCACCAUUUCAUUGUAUUACGCAUCUCUCUAUUUGCAAUGCUGAGGAUAGAACUCAAGGCUCUGUGUGUACUAGACAGCGCUCAUCACUGAGUCCCAUCCCCAACAUCUACUUUUUUUUUUUUUGGUUUUUCGAGACAGGGUUGCAAUGUAUCCCAGCCUGGCCUGGAACUCCCUAUCCCUGAAAUGACUGCAAACUUCCAGUCUUCCUGCUUCUCAAGCCCAAGUGCUGAGGUUUCAGGUGUACACACUUAGCUGAUGGGACCUUGGGAAGGAGUGAUGGACUGGCACUAUGGAGUUACAUUCCCCCAUCCUACUAUUGCUAUUAUUUUAACUGAAAUAAAGAUGGUUUAAAUCAUAAAACAUUAUGAAAUGUAAAAGAUCUCUGUUAUAAUUUUAUUUACUUGAUUAUUUAUGGUCCUGGACGUGGAAGCAUUUGCUCUCUCAUGGAAUGACUGCCCAAGUACUAAAGUUACAAUGUUAAAAUAAGUCUUGGAGGGGAAUAAGAGUUUAUACCAGUUUUGUUUUUCUUCUCCUCCCUCUCCUCUCAGAUACAGGGUCUCUCUGAAUAGCCUUGGCUGUCCUGGAAUUCACUAAGUAGACCAGGCUGGCCUUGAACUCCCAGAGAUUCACCUGCUUCUGCCUCUCCAGUACUGGGAUGAAAGGCCUGCGCCACUGCCUAGCCUUUUUUUUUUUUUUUAAUUUUUUAUUAGGUAUUUUCCUUGUUUACAUUUCC